CAGGCAAUGCCGUCACACGACUCGGAUCCUUGUCUUGCAGCAGAACUCUCGACUCGGCAAGCAAGCAAUCAUGCCCUUCACCUACUCUUUGGUUCGGCACAUCAAUGAGUAUAGAGCGGCCCUCAAACUAAACUUUGCCGCGCCGACUAAGAUGGCCGCUGCUCGGGUACCUCCGGUUGCCUAACCUCAAGGACGAUCUAAACUAGUUGAACACGCAAGGUCCAAGAGGGAAGUACUCCUCAAAUGGCUAUUGGACCUCGUAGGUCUAGGCCACGGGGGAGGACACGACGGCGCUAAAGCCUCUCUUAGUCCAGCAUCACCUCCUUACGUUGACACGCACUCCGACGCGGGUUCACCAGCCGUCGGAUCGGACGUCUCUUCACCUUGUGAAGCGGACACGUCAGUCUCGUCAGGGGGCCCUUCCACUUAGGCCGGGCUCGUGGUCCUAUCUUCUCCUCUACUUGACAACUAUUAAAAGUGAUGACUAAACGUAAUCAUCAACUCUUUUUAAACGACCCCGAUGCACGCAUAUUUAAAUUAACAAAUCUACAAAGUUAAUGUUGUAGACAGCGAGUAGAUACCAACACUUUAAAACGAAAACCAAAAAGUAAGGAAAAACACACCCACUCAGAGGUCGUUACCUAAAAACCACAUCAGAAUUCGUUUGACUCAAUCGACAAGUAAGCAAUGUCCGACGUC
rnacentral:rRNA from 1 species